GCAGCUCUGCUCUUUGUCUUUAUUUUUAGGAAGUCAAGGCAGAGAGCAGCUGUCAAGGCUGAGUGGGCAAGAUGGACUGCUUGCCAUCUAUCCUAGCCCAGCAUGCCCAUGCCAGGUGCUGUUGCUGCCCUAGGCAUGCCGGGGAAGAGAGGAGGGCAGGUAUCUUCCGGGCGGCCUCUGGAGUCAAAUCAAGACUUGAGGUACCCUGGGCAGGCUUGUAGCCACAGCUUGGAAGCGGCAGCACCGAAGCGCACACAUUGAGAACGUCUCAACGUCCACGUCCGACCGAGGAUGGAUUUUGUCUGCUUGUCUUCCAAAAGCUAAGUGUCGGGGCCAGUGGUUGGGAGAAGGGGAAAAGCCUUUACUAUCACAGGAGGCAAUCUGAUGUCAGCUUAGCGGAGAGGUCUGUAGUGGGACAGGCUCCCUGGAAGUAAAGGGAGAGGGUUUCUCCUCAGCCUCACCAGAGCCUUUGCCGGGCAGGGCAGUUCCUACCCAUCUCCACAUUCUCGUGAACUUUGCAUCAUCUGCCUUCCUCGACUUGAAGUUGUCACGGCUCUUUCCCCCGUGGAGCUUGCCUUCAGGUCCGGAGCUGUAGCCGCAGUCACCUGGCAGUCCGCUUCCUUCUCUAGGCUUGCUGAGCCUCUCGAGCAUCCUCCUAACUGCUUUGGCCCUAACUUCCUUUAAUGAGUUGCAUUUAAUCAUCACGUGCUGUUGUCAUAGGGCUUCCUUUCCCUUGGCCUCAUUGGCCUCUGGCUCGUCUUGUGCUAGGACUCUCGGGUCCCUAAAGGGAAAGUGCCAAGCAGUUGCAACUUGUCUCUGUGUUAUGUCAUCUGUGUCUAUGUUAUGGUGUGUGUGUCCAUUGUCUUCCACGGCAUAGGCCUUUGUUACAUCUCAA